rnacentral:rRNA from 1 species
UCAAGCUAGAAAGAGCGCAAGGGGAAUGCCUUGGCAUCAGGAGCCGAAGAAGGACGUGACAAGCUGCGAUAAGCUGCGGUGAGCUGCACAUAAGCUUUGACCCGCAGAUUUCCGAAUGGGGAAACCCGGCAGAGCAAUACUCUGUCAGCGUGCGUUGAAUCAAAUAGGCGUACGCGGGGAACCGCCUGAACUGAAACAUCUAAGUAGGGCGAGGAAGAGAAAUCAACCGAGAUUCCGCUAGUAGUGGCGAGCGAACGCGGAAGAGGCCAAACCGGAGGUAGCAAUAUUUCCGGGGUUAGGACUGCAAUAUGUAACUUUAAUCUUUAACUGAAUGCUUUGGGAAGAGCAGCGAAACAGGGUGAUAGCCCCGUAAGUGAAAAGGAUUGAGUGCUAGCAGUAUCCAGAGUACCAGCGGACACGUGAAACCCGCUGGGAAGAUGGGGGGACCAUCCUCCAAGCCUAAAUACUACUCAGUGACCGAUAGUGGAGCAGUACCGUGAGGGAAAGGUGAAAAGUACCCCGGGAGGGGAGUGAAAGAGAACCUGAAACCUUGUGCCUACAAGCACCGAGAGCACGUUAAAGUGUGAUCGGGUACUUUUUGUAGAACGGUCCGGCGAGUUAAUAUUUGCAGCGAGGUUAAGGAACUGGAGUUCCGGAGCCGCAGCGAGAGCGAGUCUGAAUAGGGCGUAUGAAGUUGCAGGUAUUAGACCCGAAACCGGGUGACCUAUCCAUGAGCAGGCUGAAGCGGUGGUAAGACACCGUGGAGGGCCGCACCCACGUCUGUUGAAAAAGCCGGGGAUGACUUGUGGAUAGCGGAGAAAUUCCAAUCGAACUCGGAGAUAGCUGGUUCUCCCCGAAAUAGCUUUAGGGCUAGCGUUAUUUUAGAUUACCGGAGGUAAAGCACUGAAUGGUCUAGGGGCCGCGAGGUUACCAAAGCCUAUCAAACUCUGAAUGCCGGAUAAUUGAUGAAUAGCAGUCAGACUGUGUGAGAUAAGUCUCAUAGUCAAAAGGGAAACAGCCCAGAUCUACAGCUAAGGUCCCAAAUGAACACUAAGUGGAAAAUGAUGUGAAACUGCGAAGACAACCAGGAUGUUGGCUUAGAAGCAGCCACUCAUUCAAAGAGUGCGUAAUAGCUCACUGGUCGAGUGGUUUUGCGCAGAAAAUGUAACGGGGCUAAGUGUUCAACCGAAGCUUAGGCAUUGUACUUUGUACAUUGGGUAGGGGAGCGUCGUAUGCGGGGCGAAGUCAGAGCGGAAGCACUGGUGGACUGCAUACGAGUGAGAAUGCCGGAAUAAGUAGCGAGAAUUAUGUGAGAAUCAUAAUGGCCGAAAAUCUAAGGUUUCCUGGGGAAGGUUCGUCCGCCCAGGGUUAGUCGGGAGCUAAGCUCAGGCCGAAAGGCGUAGGCGAUGCACAUACGGUAGAAAUUCCGUAACCACCGAACUUUAAGCUAGAGGGACGCUUUCUUUAAGGUUAUCCCGGGCGAUGGUUGCCCCGGGCGUAAGGGACCGAAAUUUAGUAGGGAAGUAACUGGCGAGAGAGACGAGAAAAGCUCUAGUGUAUACUAAGGUGCCCGUACCGCAAACCGACACAGGUAGAAGGGAUGAGUAUUCUAAGGCCAACGGGAGAAGGGUUGUUAAGGAACUCGGCAAAUUGGCCCCGUAACUUCGGGAUAAGGGGCGCCUGCGAGAGCAGGCCGCAGUGAAAAGGCCCAAGCGACUGUUUAGCAAAAACACAGCUCUCUGCUAAAUCGAAAGAUGACGUAUAGGGGGUGACGCCUGCCCGGUGCUGGAAGGUUAAGGGGAGUGCUUAGCGCAAGCGAAGGUGCGAACUUAAGCCCCAGUAAACGGCGGCCGUAACUAUAACGGUCCUAAGGUAGCGAAAUUCCUUGUCAGGUAAGUUCUGACCCGCACGAAUGGCGU